ACCUGCGGGCGCCCGGGGCCUGCGGAGCCUGGUAGGAAGCCGCAGGGUGAGGGAGGCGCAGACUCCGCUGCCUCGGGAUCUGGAGGGGCCCUGGGGGGACGGAGGCGCAGGCCAGUCGCCCUCGGAGGGGACGACGCCGUUGAGUGGCCCGGGCCGGGGCGCUGGCGGGGACAGCGAGAAGCGCACGUGAGCCCGCGGAUUAGAGAGCUGUGGUCGAGAGCGCGGUCCUGGAGGCAGGAGGGGGUCGAUGAAGGUCGAUUGUCGGAUCAGAGCUGGUUCUAGAAACAUCCCGCGGCGGAGCGCAGGGCGGAGCGGAGCCGGGAGUCCCAGGGAGGAAAUGGCUGAAGUCGUCCGGACCCAGGGACCCGGGAGUGACCCGUUCUGGCCGGAGCCUCAUGCCCACCUCUGGUUCACAUGCCAGUAUUGGAGCAGAGGGCCAGUCGGCUGUCCCUGAGCUGCCCGGAUGGAAAGUUCCGCAGAGGAGGACUUGGGGAUGGGGCUGUCGCCAGGAGCAGGGGGAGUUUGCGGGGCCCACUGCGGGCGUCCAGUGGGCAGGCAUCCAGGUGGGGCGUCUGCAGCUCAGGGGACAGGUUUCCACGUGAGGGCUGUGAACUAGAAGCCGGGGACAAAAGGCCAGCAAGACAAAGAUCAUGGCCCAGCAGACAGGCCAACGAGACGGGAUGAGGUGAUCAAUCGUUCACAGGUGAUGCUAGGUUUCCUUUUCAAUGCUCCACUGUGCCCUACUGAGGGAAACCGCUGUCUGAACAGGAAGACUCGACAGAUACCUAACCCGCUUCCCAGCUCCAUCCCCCUGUGUGUGUAGCCCAAGAACAGGGAGCUCAUCACUCUCACCUCUAACACGAAGGUGAGAUGAUGAUCUUACACAGAUGAGCCUGACAACAGAACCUACAUUCCAUUCACUUGAAUAACCAGGGUCUUGUUUAUGUAUCAGGUUGCUCUUCACUAAGCUGGAGAUACUAGUUCAAAGAAAAGGUAUGGAUAUCAUCGUACCACGAAAGAUGAAUGCUAUAUAAGGGCCUCACAUACUGUUACAUUUGUGUACUCCUGUACCUCCAAAAUAGCACCAGUCAUUAAGGAGAGGCUUCAACAUCACAUCACCACCGUCUGCUUCUUCCCAGUAGAGCCAAAACACACUUGCAGGCUCAUGAACUGCAAAUACACCUUCAGGCUUCUACCUUGGAGGUACCAUUUCCCUCUUCAAGGGGGCAGGAACAGUCUUACAAGUCACUUACUACGUAAGACCAUGGAAUGAAUGAUGCAGCUGCACAACCAAGGACAGGACCUCCUGGUGGCGCAGUGGUUAAGAAUGCACCUGCCAAUGCAGGGGACACGGGUUUGAGCCCUGGUCCAGGAAGAUCCCACAUGCCGCAGAGCAAGUAAGCCCCUGGGGCACAACUACUGAAGCCCGUGCGCCUAGAGCCCGUGCUCCACAACAAGAGAAGCCACUGCAAUGAGAAGCCCAAGCACCACAACGAAGAGUAGCCCCCGCUCACUGCAACUAGAGAAAGCCCACGU